CCCUUUAGAGUUUGAUGGUGGCUCAGGAUGAACGCUAGCGGGAGGUUUAACACAUGCAAGUCGAGGGGUAACGAUGUCUUCGGACAGUCGACGACCGGCGCACGGGUGAGUAACGCGUAUGCAACCUGCCUUAAACAGGGGGAUAGCCCAGAGAAAUUUGGAUUAAUACCCCAUAAUAUUUAGAUCUCGCAUGGGAUUUAAAUUAAAACUCCGGUGGUUUAAGAUGGGCAUGCGUGACAUUAGAUUGUUGGUGAGGUAACGGCUCACCAAGUCGACGAUGUCUAGGGGUUCUGAGAGGAUGAUCCCCCACACUGGUACUGAGACACGGACCAGACUCCUACGGGAGGCAGCAGUGAGGAAUAUUGGUCAAUGGGCGCAAGCCUGAACCAGCCAUCCCGCGUGAAGGAUGACUGCCCUAUGGGUUGUAAACUUCUUUUCUGUACCAAGAAUGGUGACUACGUGUAGUUAUUUGACGGUAGUACAGGAAUAAGCAUCGGCUAACUCCGUGCCAGCAGCCGCGGUAAUACGGAGGAUGCAAGCGUUAUCCGGAUUUAUUGGGUUUAAAGGGGUCCGUAGGCGGACUAAUAAGUCAGUGGGUGAAAUCCUGCAGCUUAACUGUAGAAUUGCC
rnacentral:rRNA from 1 species